rnacentral:rRNA from 1 species
GUUGUAGUCUGGAGAAGUGCUUUCCGCGCUGGACCGUGUAUAAGUCUCUUGGAACAGAGCCUCAUAGAGGGUGAGAAUCCCGUCUUUGACACGGACUACCAGUGCUUUGUGAUGCGCUCUCAAAGAGUCGAGUUGUUUGGGAAUGCAGCUCAAAAUGGGUGGUAAAUUCCAUCUAAAGCUAAAUAUUGGCGAGAGACCGAUAGCGAACAAGUACCGUGAGGGAAAGAUGAAAAGCACUUUGGAAAGAGAGUUAAACAGUACGUGAAAUUGCUGAAAGGGAAACACUUGAAGUCAGUCGCGUUGGCCGGAACUCAGCCUUGCUUUCGCUUGGUGCACUUUCCGGUUGACGGGCCAGCAUCGAUUUCGGCCGGCGGAAAAGGGUUGGAGAAAUGUGGCACCCUCGGGUGUGUUAUAGUCUCUAGUCGCAUACGUCGGUUGGGAUCGAGGAUCGCAGCGCGCCGCAAGGCAGGGGUUCGCCCACUUUCGCGCUUAGGAUGCUGGCAUAAUGGCUUUAAAUGACCCGUCUUGAAACACGGACCAAGGAGUCUAACAUGCCUGCGAGUGUUUGGGUGGAAAACCCGAGCGCGUAAUGAAAGUGAAAGUUGAGACCUCUGUCGUGGAGGGCAUCGACGCCCGGACCUGACGUUCUCUGACGGAUCCGCGGUAGAGCAUGUAUGUUGGGACCCGAAAGAUGGUGAACUAUGCCUGAAUAGGGUGAAGCCAGAGGAAACUCUGGUG